GUUAAAGCGUUGAUAGGAAAAAGUAGCAGGCUGCACAUACUUUUUAGAGAGUCGGUGGUUGGUGAGAACCGAUGUAUGACAUCUGCGAAUCCAUCCUUGAGCACUUGGCCGAAUUGCCUUUAUUGGCAUAGUAAGUCAAAUCGGUAAGAUUAUUACCGUUAUCGAAUGAAGUGGGAGAAGGCGUUUAGUCUUUUUCAACAAGGGUGGCAACACGGGAAUAUAAACUCUCGUCCCUAUU
rnacentral:ncRNA from 1 species